UACAGAGACCUCAAGCGUUAUCCGGAAUCAUUGGGCGUAAAGCGUACCGAUAGGUUGGUCAAGAAAGCCAAAAGUGAAAUCUCCGAGCUCAACUCGGAAUCUGUCUUUUGGAACUUCUCGACUAGAGGGGCGAAAGAGGAAGCUGGAACGAACGGUGUAGUAGUGAAAUGCGUUGAUAUCGUUCGGAACACCAAUGAGCGUAGGCAGGCUUCUGGGUGCCACCUGACACUGCGUAGGA
rnacentral:rRNA from 1 species